UACGAGAGGCCCAAACGUUAUUCGGAAUUACUGGGCUUAAAGAGUUCGUAGGCGGCGCAGAAAGUAGGGUGUGAAAGCCCUCGGCUUAACCGAGGAAUUGCGCUCUAAACUACUGUGCUUGAGGAACCUAGAGGUGAGCAGAACAGAUGGUGGAGCGGUGAAAUGCGUUGAUAUCAUCUGGAAUACCGGAGGCGAAGGGCGGCUCACUGGGGGUUUUCUGGACGCUGAGGAACGAAAGCCAGGGUAGCGAACGGG
rnacentral:rRNA from 1 species